CUGGUUUUUAAUCGUUAACCACUCUACUAAUUGGUAUAAUGCAACAGUCUUAAUUGGCAUUUGCGCUGUCCUUCGUUACAACCCUUUCGUGCUAGUUUUUUUUUUUUUCGUUCAUACUCGCGAAUUAAAGAAAUACGAGAGAAACCGUGUUAUUAAAACGAGAAAACGGCCGCGCAUGUUUUUCAAACGACUCAGUUUAAGCAUAACCGUGUGUACCUAAAUGCGAAUUUAAAACAAAAUAUCUCCGAUUUUAUUAUUGUAGUG